GCGCAGCGGUGGAUGCACACACGGACACACGCACACACGCACACACAGACAGACGGACACACGGCGCAGCCGGGCGGGUCACGUACCUGCAGGGACCUGGAGUCAAAGCACCGGCAGCGUUGAGGACGAGACCACCACCUUCCUGGACUCUGCUGCAUCCACAGGCUGCCGCCAGGCACUGGGAUGGGCUGUGCUUCGGGGAUGUGACCCCCAGAACCCCACGGGCCACCAAACAUGCCUCCUCAGCAGAGGCUGCACAGGUUGUACUGUUCAAACCAGUGCUCUGUUUGCUGCCAGGAUGGGACUGCUGAGCUCCCUUUUCAAGAUCAAAUAGUUGCAUUUUCACAGAUGAUGUCACUAAGGGAUUCCUAGGAGAGCUGCCUUCUAAACAAACACUUUAACUCCAAGGGCCUUAAACCCAGGCACAUCUUGUGCAGUCAGGCAACAAGAGGAGCUUGCUCCUCAUUGCUGGUCUUUGAUCUUGUUAUUGCCCUCCUUUCUGCACCAGAGGAACUGACUUUGCUGACCAUAACUUCUGUGCAAACUGCUGAAAUGAACAUUAACUUUCUUUUUGCAGUCAGCUUUGCAGAGCACUUGGAAGCAGUCCGCAAGUCACAGUUUGAAAGCCAUUACCUGUCUUACUUAUAUGGCUUCUUCAUUCUCAUUUCUGAUCCCUCCUUCCUUUCUCCUGACUCCUUUGCAUUUUUGCUUUACUUUUCUCUUUUUCUCUGAUACUCUACUGUGUCAACAGGACAAAGUAGCCUCCAAACCUGUCCUUUCCCCUCCUUUUCCCCCGGCCUCUUUCUACUCCUUUACUUCUCCAUUGUUAGGAGCAGCCCCAGGUCAAAGCUGUGUCUGCAUUCCUUAAUUAAAAGAGGGUUUGAAAAUGCUUCUCAAA